rnacentral:lncRNA from 1 species
GAAAAAGAAAGAAGAAAAAGAACUGAAUGUUAGAAUGUAUACAUUAGAAGGAAAUACAGUUAAACAGAUCAGAAAGAGAAUAAAGCAUGCAUACCUUGUAAAAUCAUCGACCAAGUUGAUUGUAACAUUAGGUUUCCAAUAUGAAAUCCACUCAACAGGAGCAUCCUCCUUAAGAUCAUCUUGUGAUUCUUGAACUGCCUGAGAAAACUGCUCAUCAUACCUCAUAGAGUGGAAAAAAGAAGAAGAAAAAGAACUGAAUGUUAGAAUGUAUACAUUAGAAGGAAAUACAGUUAAACAGAUCAGAAAGAUAGGCAAGUAUGCAUACCUUGUAAAAUCAUCGACCAAGUUGAUUGUAACAUUAGGUUUCCAAUAUGAAAUCCACUCAACAGGAGCAUCCUCCUUAAGAUCAUCUUGUGAUUCUUGAACUGCCUGAGAAAACUGCUCAUCAUACCUCAUGAUCAUAUGGAAUUAAAACCUUAUAUGGUGACGAAAGGAACGAUAACUCAUAUAGGAGCAAACCAAAUUUAAUUACACCACAAUGUGAAAUAGUCAAAACAGUCAUUCUGCUAGCUCGGGAGUUGAUGUCAUCAUGUGAAAUAAUCAGAAAGAUUAUUCUGUUGGGUGGGAUCCGAAGUUAAGAAUCUAGAGGGUAUAUUUGAGGAAAACUGAGGAAAAAACUACUCAGCCACUAAAUGCAGAAACAAAGAUUUGAUGCUUAAGCCAUAAAAC